rnacentral:rRNA from 1 species
GCUACGGGUGGCAGCAGUGGGGAAUAUUGGGCAAUGGGCGCAAGCCUGACCCAGCAACGCCGCGUGAAGGAAGAAGGCCCUCGGGUUGUAAACUUCUUUUAUUCGGGACGAAACAAAUGACGGUACCGAAUGAAUAAGUCACGGCUAACUACGUGCCAGCAGCCGGCGUAAUACGUAGGUGGCAAGCGUUAUCAGGAUUUACUGGGGGGAAAGGGCGUGUAGGCGGGAGAGCAAGUCAGACGUGAAAUUGCAGGGAUCAACCCGGGAACUGCGUUUGAAACUGUUGUUCUUGAGUGAUGGAGAGGCAGGCGGAAUUCCGGGUGUAGCGGUGAAAUGCGUAGAUAUACGGAGGAACACCAGUGGCGAAGGCGGCCUGCUGGACAUUAACUGACGCUGAGGCGCGAAAGCGUGGGGAGCAAACAGGAUUAGAUACCCGUGUAGUC